GCAGCAGCGAUCCUGCUGUUUUUUGAGGUAAGAGAUUCAGCCAUCCAAUCGGUUUUAGGCCUUGCAUAUCAAUUUUAUUACUGCACCAUGUUUACUUCCAAAAACAAAACACCUUCCCACCCACCCACAUACACACACCAAAAACUGUUUUUUUUCCAGUCUACUGUGGUCCAGGUUAUCCGCUCUUUCAGAGCUCUAGUAAUUGCCAUGUUUACAAACACACACACACGCACACACACAACACACACACACACACACACACACACACAAAGAGAGAAGUUAGAUAGAUCUUUAGCAGUCCUCCCUGCUUUCCCUGGAUUUUACGGAUUUAUUUUUUAAAUGCCAUUGGAAAGAGGACCUAGCUCUGUGCGCGCACCGCUUCCUGGUAAACUGUAACAAUCUCAUGCUGCCAAAAAACAACACAAUUUCCAGGAUCUCAGAAGAAAAAAACAAAGCCAUUGACAAGUUACAGAUUUCCAGGAAGAAGGGGGGAUAGAAGGAGCCUAGACAGGAAGGAAGACUCCCCUCCCAGGCUCAAGUCUCCAAAACUCCCUUGUAGAAGGGGUCCCAGCUCCACAGGAGAAGAGGGAGGGAUUGACAAGGGCGGAGGAGUUUGAGCCCCCCAAAAUCUGCCAUCCUCACCUCACCGUUAAACUGGAUAUUCUGGGGGAAAACAAAAACAAAAACAAAACCGCUUCUUUCUCCGACUUGCAAUCGGAUUUCAAAUUAGCACUAGAAUCCAUCCUGGUGGCCAUUGAGAACAUUUUUCUUUUGUUGAGAAUAAGGAAUCUGGGGCAAUGGUGAUUUCCUUAACUAUUCAAAUGAGCAGCCUUGAACUCAUUUCAUCGCCUCUGUCCUCUGAAGCCAUGCCUGUGAAUGUCCCCUGUCCCUGCUCCAGAGAGUAAGGGACGAGAAUGGAGAAGGAGGGCUUCAAUAAUGGGAGAGUGAGCAUUUUUUUGCUUGGAAAAAAAAAUUUUUUUUGUCCUUUCCAUGAGGAAGGCAAGUCUUAUGUGCUGUGAAAAGGGUGCCUGGGUAGUUACCUAAACUGCCAAAUCUUCAAUCAAAUAGUAUAUAUUUCUUAGCCUUCCAGAGAGCAGCACCUAAUGGGGACAGGUCUUGUUGGAUAGGCCUCAGCGAGCACCUCUGAGCUCUGCAUUCCAAAGUAUGAAAUGAACGCUUCAGGAAAUGCCCAUACACCCACUUUGCUGCCCUUCUCCUCUGAGGCCAGAUUUCUAUUUUUAAAGAAAAACUUCAAAAGAGGAAAACCACAGAUAACAACAACAAUGACAGAAUCACUGGGCCUUCAAACAUGCAUACCAGCCCCUAAAACAUAGAACGUGUCCGGACUCGUGAAUCAUUGUCAUUGCUGCUCUGCCUUAUCUCUGCUCAUGGGUUACCGUAGUCACGAGUCCCUGAAGGGGCAUCCCUCAUAGGCCCAACACACACUCCUAAACGUGUCCAACCAGCUACAUUGAGGUUUAUCCCAUUUUAUGUCAUUAAAGCCUCUUUUUUUUUCCCCCCAGUCUAGAGAGUAGCUAAGAAUUCUCUAUGUUCAUUUGCAAUGUUGAGUGAGACCCUAAAACGACCAACCAGCGAUGGAUGCAGUUUGUUUGGAAUCUGAUCUCUGGAUGUCAAAUAAGGGUUGAGGUAAUAAUAAGGAUGAUUGCAUCAUUUGAUGAUCUGGCUUUCUCCCUAAGGCUGGGAUGAGGAUCUGUGCUUACGAAAGCAUCAGCUGCUAGAAAUUAUAGUCUUACUUGGAAAGAUAAGGCCAAAUUCCUGCUGAUAACCCCAAGGGGACAGAGCAUUGAGAUACUCUUUUUAGAAAGCAACAAGAAAAGACAACCCCCAAAUAAAUGGUUAUGGCUGCAGAUAAUAUACAUUAGUAAGAAUAUAAAAACUGUGCUUUUACUGCGAAAAUUAUCUCAGUGGUUUCAUAAGAAAUUAAUAGAGUCUGGGGACCAAAUUCUCAUUUAGGGUUAUAGUUUGCAGAAUCACAGUGCCCUGGUCAAGAGAAUCUCCAGCCUCCGGGGAUGAAGAGAUCCAUUCUGCAACUAACUAGUUCUUGGCCGGGAAAGAUGCUUUGCCAUCAAGAAAUGCCCAAAGAGAAUGGUAUAUGACCAUAUUGGGAGGUUAAUAUUCCCAAUGACCAUCCAGGAACCACUGCAUAUUUAAACACAGGAAGGGAGAUUGUUGGCCGAUGCCCAACAGGAAUGAAUCCUUCUGGUGUCAAAACUCUUGAAAAAGAUUUUAAGGAUGAAAUGCUAAAUGAGAAAGGAAGUGUCUAUAAUCUAUGUUCCGUAACAAAAAACAGUUUUUUCUUUAUUCAUCUGUUUAGAUCGUCCUCCUUGGAAAAGACUGAGGUAAUUUUAAUUUUAUGAUUUUUUAAAAUCCUGCCUUCAAAGUCUUAAGGAAUUUGAUGCUUAUAGUUGAAAGCACCUCUGAGAAAAAGAGAACAUUUUAAAUUCUUAUAUCUUAACCUUUGUAAAAUGGAAGAUUAGUGAACCCGAAUCUACCAUCGGGCACAAAAUAGUGUCACUAUAUGUCCUCCUGGGCUAUAGAGGGGACACAGGAUGGUGCAAAUAGCUAUUUGCUAUUUGCAAAUUAAAUAGCUAUUUGCGAUUUCCUAUUAAAUAGCUUUGAGUUUAGAGGCAAUGGGAGCCUGAAAAAUGGACAAGCUGACAUAUUUCUGGUUUAUGACCUCUGUCCCCACUUCCUUCUUCUGGACACUUCCCAGCCAAAUCCCCUCCUCCUAGGCCCCCACCCACACUCCCUCUGGAGUUAACAGUCCAUGGAAAAAAUUCCUUCCUUCCCUACCUCUCUCCCUUGUCUUGCUCUAAAUGAUGUACAUAAAAGUUGUUAGACAUUCCUAAGUGCCCUCACACUGGUCCCCAUUCCUGAAAGAUACAGAUCAAGACAUUAUCAAGGGGUCACCAUCUAGGUAUUCCUGGGUUGUUUUCUUUUUGCCAUGAAAAUAGCCAUACUCUCCUGCAUUACUGAGUGGCAGCAGAAGCAGAAGACUGCAUAGACUCACUCUCCUAUGCAACAGUCAUGUCCAGGGGACCCCACGUCCACAGUUCAUAAAGUGGCACAUAAGCUGUGUCAUAGAUGUAGCCUGUGUAGACCCAGCGGAAACCCCGUCUUUCAUUUGACAAUGUGACUACGCACUCAUUUUUCCCACUCAUGUUCCUUGGCUUCACAUAUCAGGGGUGACCUAUGUUAUGCUUAACAGCUUUGUGAGGCAGACCCAGGCAAAGACACACUCGGAGGUAAAUUACCCAGGAUUAUUGCCUCCAUCCUCUGUACUGCCAAACAGAAACAGCAGACUGGUUGGUGAUUCUGCCGGCUAAAUGAUACAUGUUCUCAUAUCAUAUAUGCCAUCUUUAUUGUGCAUUACAAGCAACGAAAGAUCCUGAAAAUGCAAAGAGAAAAAUGUGGUGCAGAGAAUAAAGUUUGGUUUAUGGAUCCAAGCAUAGACUUUCCUUAAGCAAACAUUACAUACAAUAUACAGAAAUGUUGACUAAAUUCCAUCUUUCCAAAAUCAAUGACUCCUUUAUAAAUAUUCAUUUAUGAAAGAACUCAGUUAAAAUUCACCAAGUUAAACAAACAAACAAAAAAUAUUUAUAAUGCUAGAAGGAGACAACCUCCAAGAUUUCUUACAUGGACAAUUUUGAAUAGUGUCUCACCAAAGGGUGAUGUGCCCCUAAUUUUUUUUCCUAAACAAAAUGUAAUUCUAUAUCCCAGGAGGGAGGAAAAAGGAAUGUACCAUUAUUUGUUCGUGUUGGUUCAAUCAGCGAUUACUGGGACGACAAGAAAGAAUAACGGACACGUUAUCUCAGUUUCCUGAAAGCGAACAAAGAAAUCAACUAAACUGACAGAAAAUUGUUAAAGGUUACAAUUUCACAAGCCACAUUUGAAAGGAAACCUUUGGUAGGAGAAGAACUGCAAACCAGAAAAUCCUAAGUUCCUAAAAGGGUAAGAAUAAAGAGUUUUGAGUUUAUUUUUAGUUCUCCGAUAGCAAGAAUUUCCUUAUUUGAAUGGAAAAGGUCUAACAGUUGUCUUGUUCGGUUUUGUUUUUCCUAAUCAAAAAGUCUUUGGUACAUCAAGGGGCUCACGGUCGUUCCUGAUUGGCCGCUAGAUACCUUGCACCUCCUUGAACAACCAGCACUCAUCACAAAGAUUUCAGUAGGAAAUCAAUGUGGGAAAAAUAGGUGUAUUGUUGAACUGGUUGGAAAGAAACCCAUUCUCAAUAAUGACUCUACCGGUAUUUCCUGUCUGGAAGACAAUAGAAAAAUAAAUCAGGUGUAGAGAGGCCAAAUAACAUUACGCAUUUGCCUUAGGUACACAGGGUCACAGAUUCACCUAGCUUCAAACAGCUCCCGUUAGAAGCCAAAGGAUGAAUAAGAGCAAUCGGUAUUGCCAUCUGGCUUUCACCUCUCCCUGGGUUUCCUCUUGAGGAGAAACAGUAAAGGGGGAACAUUUUCCAAUAUGACUUUUUUAUAGGUGAAAAUGAUUAAAAUACGAUAUGCGUGUGCACCAUGCAGGUUUGGCUGCGUGCGAAAUACAUUACCUCUCUUGUGCCCAUUCCCUCCCAGCACCGGACGCCAUCUUGCCUCCUGCCUUAACCCAACAGAAUCAAUUCAUGUUGCCUCCUCGUCAUUCGAAACCUCCUGAGUUAUGUGCCCUUGCAUAGCUGAAAGCUUGUAUUGUGUAUCUUCGAUUCACAAAACAAUGAAUCUUAAUGAUCUCCCCAGAUUCUUAGUCCUAUUGCCUUUAAAAGGUCUUUGGAGGGAGCUUUGGAAUCUGGGUAGCCUCCUCCAAACUGCUUCGGGUUAUUUUUCUUUUCUGCUUUUCCGUCCUGUAUGUCAAGAGUACAUGUUUACAUAAAUCUCGUCUCCCUCAGCCCAAUUUAAAAUAAAGUGGAAAUAAAAGUCAUUAGCUCAAGCCUGGCAAAAUUCACAUUAUCUACACCAAAGCUGGAAGACAAGAACGUCCCCCAACAGUCUAGUGGAGGGACGGUGAGUUCACACUGUAUCAGCUCUUUUCCAUCAAACUCAUUUCUCAUGCCCUCCUUCAGCCUUAACUGUAUGCCUUUAAGAAACCUAUUAUGAUUCCAGAAUGGUUUCUCAUUCACAGCAUACACUGCUGGUUACAGACCAUCCUCUAGGAACUCUUUUAGUCCUGUUACAGAUUCUGUGUCUGUGCAUCACCUCACUAACCCCCCCUCAGCCUUCUAACAGACAUUAAAUGUAGGAAGACAAGUCAUAAGGCAGACUUGUCCAAACUUCCCCUAUGAAAUUAUAUAGAACAUCUUUUUCCUCCAAACAGCCUUCUUCUACUUAGAGAACAGAGUCCUCUACACCUGCACCAAGCAACGUGAAGACUAACUUCAAAAAAUUAACAGUAAAUGAGCAGCAUGGUAGAGAGAGGGAAAUUAUAGUGGGUGGAGGAUACCCUGGAGUUAGGACCGCAUGACGUGGCCUGUAUGUUGCCUCUAGCACUGCCCAGUGUUUCCGGACAUGCCACCAGAUGAUUCUUAAGUUCCCUCCCAGAUUUCCACCAGUGGGAAACCAAGUUCCCAGCUACAUUUCAAAAGGAAUUUUAGAGAGGUUCAUUUGUCCAGGAAGUUACUGGAAAGAUACAGGAGCACUGUAGGCUCUGCUAACACAACCCCAUAAAUUCAGUAAUAGUUCUUGUUGUCUAUCUGUGGGAGUCAGUCAUCAGGGUAAACUGUCUGGUGUUAAGUGAAUCUAAUUUAAUACCUCUUCAAAUUCCUUUAAAUAUACAUUGAAGUUCCAAUACUUAGAAAUUUAAAAUAAAUUUAUAGGCAAAUGGCAAAAAAUAAAUUAUUUUAUAAUUUUAGUAAUGGUCUACACUACAAUAUUACCCUCCAAGGCCACUGGACAGACUCAGAUAGCAUAAAUCAGUGUGGUCUCUAUUUUUAGAUCUCUGGAAGAUACAGCUCCUCUAGGCCACUCUCUGUGUCUCGGUCAGGAAAAGCCCUGAAAUACUCCCUUAGGAGUGGAGAAGCCCAGGUCUAGGCAGCAUCUAAGCAGAAACACUGUGGCAGUGCCCUUCAAUGUUUGUCCCCAGAGCCGGCCCCCAUUGCUCUCUGUGCUCUGUAAGCGGGAGCAGCAGGUGGGGUUAAGCUCUUAGAUAAGGGGCAGCCUCCCACCUGGUUGGAAAACAUUCCAGGUCUUUAGAACCUCUGUUAUCCGCUCUCCCUGCCCCACUUUACCAAACCCCCUCUCAUUCCCCACUUAACUAGUUCAAUCUGACAAAUGUUUUAGGCACAGCCAUGACUUAACUGGAAGUUUACUUUAUUAAAUUGAGAUGAGCAUAUCUAGCUUUUUGUAUAUUUAAAGCAUGCACCCUCCCCAUUCCAGCCUCUGAGCCUGAUUCCCGGGGAGAUCUCUGCCCACUGGUGUUCUUAACUUCUUCCCUUUUGCCAAAGAUACCUUCCAACUCUAAACUUCCAUUAUUCUCCUGAGAGCCCCACCCCCCCCAUCAUUCAGAAUUGUUAGGAGAAUGCCUAAAAAUUCCUCCUUCCCACGGUAGACCAGUCUACCCAUGAGAUGGCCGCUUUUUUGUAAAGUUAGCUUAAUAUCCUAUCCCUUGACCUCGCACACCCUCUAUAACCUCCCGUUCCAAACUUCCCAUGUGCAGAUGUACUCAUCACUCCUCAAGUAGUGAGCUUAUAGUUUUUUUUUUCAGGUUUCUCAUACUUUUACCUUGAGAUAGGUUCAUAUUUAACGACAUCUUUUUAAAAACAGAGGAAGCACUUGUAAGUCUUCAAGUUCUCACCAAGAUGAAAUGAAUACUUACAAAGAUGAAAAGCAAUUAGGAUUCAUUCAGGUACAAGUAACCAGAAACACAACUAAAAGUAACUUCAGCAAUCCAAAUGAUAGAGCUCUUAUAACAGUAAGUGCAGGAGUAGGGUCGUUACUGGCUUAAUUAUAUCAAUAGCACAACUUCGUCCAGGACCCAGGCCCCUUCCCAGGACCAGAUCUUCUGAACUCUGUAUGUUACCGGGACCCGCUGGGGUUGCAGCAUGGCUAUACUCAGGAACUCAUAUCAAGUGGCAGAAACAAGGGAAAGUCCUGUGUAGGUCUCUUUUGAAGAACCAGGAAAUCUUUCCCCAAAAACCUCUCCCAGCCAUUGUUUUUCAUUCCUUUGGCUAGGGUUGGAUUGCACAACCCCUUCUGAACCAGUUACUGGUAAGAGGAAUGAAAUUAUCAUGAUGGGGUUACAUUAUUGACCCAAAGCAUUGUCCAAUGCCUGGGGCAGGGGGAAAAAUGGAAUAUGUUAACAAAAAGAAGGAAGAAUGGGCUUUUGAGUAGAUAUCCAGUUGUGACUGCCACACAUCGGUCUAAGGUUUCAGAAAAUAUUUCGUUACACAGAAUUUCAUGAUUCCAUCUUCCCUACAGCCAUGUGGUUAUGAUGACAAUACCAAUAUUUGGAAAUAGAGGCUAAAUAGGUUAAGUUAUUUACCCCACAUCUGAUAACUAGUUAGUGAUAGAGUUAGUAUUUGAUCUGAGUUUGUUUUGUUUUUUUCUGGCUGCAAAGGCAAAGCUUUGUCUACUCUAUCACACUGCCUGUAUCUAAUCCUUUUUACCUCCAUGAUCCUCCGUUCUGGGUGGCUCAAACAUAAGAGGAGAGUAGGAAGAAAAAGAACAAUUUCCAUUCCCAACAUCUAGAUAUUAUGCCCAGUAAAUAAACACUUCUGUUCUUUUUUUAUCCUGUUCCUCCUCCCUGUCCUUGCCCCUCCCCCUACACCCCCAACAAACAUACAAAAACCUUUCAUUAUACUCUUGAGGGAAAGUGUAGAAGGAAGAGUUCACAUAACAACUGAAUAGCCUGAGGUGUGCCCCAGUUCUUUGGGGAUAAUAUUACACUGUUAGGGGACCACAGGUCCCAGUUUCCCUGAGACAGUCCCAAUGUGUAAUUACCAACUGAACCACAUUUCACUCUCAGAUCUAUCCAUUUGAAUAACAAUUAUAUAGUCACACUAAUUAUGGGUCUCAUAAUCCCCAUACCUGUGUAUAUGGGAAAUAUUGAUAAAUUAACACCUUAAAGAAAAUACAUGCCUUGGCUCCCUAUGAACCACUUAAGUCUGACCUCAGUCUCUCCAUCACUCAGGGUCAUUUUCUCUCUCAUUUUUCCCCUGACCCACCCUCAAGCAAACUAUUCCUCAGGUCUUUCCUACCCUUUCACUGAAAGGACUGCCACUUCUCAUCCUAGAAUGUUCUCCUUGCUGUGCUUGAAGUUUUACAUUUUAUUUCCAUGGCCCAGAUUUUCCUCUUGCCUAGCACCUCCCCAAUGGGUGGAUUAUCAAGCCACCGUCAUCCAGAAAGCCAACCACGAGCGAUCUUCCCUCAUUCUGUUCACUCUCCUGCUACCACUCCUUCAAAUCCUGUGGCCACUAAGUCAGUAAUAAUGGAUGCUUGUUGAAUUUGUGGUUAUCUUCCCGUAGUUUUGCAAAUAGAGGUUCCCCUUCCCUAAAUAAAGUGUAAGGUCUUUAAGGGUAAAUGCCCCAUUUUCUAAUUCUUCUGUAUUGCCCAAAGCACCUAUUGAUCUUAUCAUGGUAGAGUCUGUAAAUGACCUACGUUGGUAAAUGUAGCAACAGAAAAAUGUAAUUUCGUAACAGGCAGUCCUUCAGGAUUAGAGGUAACACCAUGUGAGACAGGAGCCGCCUUCGCCCUCCCCCGAGUUACCUUAGCUCCUUAGAGCCUACAUAAACAGCUUCUAACUGGAUAAAACAUGCAGUCAACUUACAGAGGAACCCAGGUUUGGGUCCGUGCAAAGUGAUUACGCAGAUUUUUCCCCAUUACUCACGACUAAACAGACUAAAUCGUAAUAACAGCAUUCUAGAUUCGACCAGUUCUGGCAAAUUGAACUUUCCAUGCUGAUUACUGCUCCUUUAACUUUAUGGAAACAGGAAAUUCUUCGUUCUAAGUCUCACUUUUCACCCAUUUAUCCCCAUUUGCCUUAUUAAAAGCCUUCUGAAUCUAGGUUCUGUGGGGGUGUUUACUCUCCCAGUUGGGAUUGCACUGCUUAAUUGGAACACUCCAAUGUGAAUUCCAAGAGAAUACUUCUAGAUGGUAUUGCACACCAAAUUUCACUUCUGCCAAGAAAUAGAAGGUUUAGAACUCCUAAGAGGGACGGACAGUUAGUUCUUCACUGUCCCUCAACAUUGCCUAAAAUAGAUGUACAGAGAAAUACCUUUUCUGCACCCCUCCGUUCAAUUGUUAACUUUCCUGUUCUCCUGUUAUGUAUAUUAUUUACAAAUUUGCAUAAAAGAAAUACAUCAUUUGCAAGCCUUACCUCAGAGUGGCAACCAGCCACCCCAGUUUUACUAGAUAACGUAUUUUUCUACUUGAUAUUCCCCCGAAUACAUUGAAUUGCAGUGUAUCUUUUUCUUUUUUUAAGCUAAUCAACUCAUGUUAAUCCGUUUCCUACAUCUUUUUAAAAUAUUCACUGGAUAAAGCUUGAAAUAUUUUAUAUUUUGCGACAAUGCUCCUGAGACAUUUUUAGGGAAGCCCCUUGAUUAUUCUAACUCACUGCAGUGUCAUGGAAAGCAGAAUUAUAAAUACAGUGAUAUUUCACAUUCAGAACAUCCACUACUAAGUAGGGAAUGCUCGAGAUUAGAUAUGCAUAUAUUUAUUGACUGUGUCGUUCAACUCCUUAGAGAGGGCCAGUAACCCUCUUGGUAAAAACUAUCAUGUGGCAUUAUUCCAAAGUCAAGAUUGCAUGAGGUUUCCAGAAAUUCUAAAUGAUAUGUUUACAAGGACUAAAAAUUUUUUGACAUCUUUAAAUAAGCUUUUUAUUUUUGACCACCAGGCAGCAUUUUGUGCCAUUGUGAUGGGAACCUAAUGGCUAAUGUGAAAUAAUGUCGUGUCAUUUCAAAGGUUAAUGGAAAUGUAAAUUGGAAACUUUAACAUUGUGUAAAUAAAAAUAAAACUGUUUUUGAGAGAAAACUG